GAAUCGAUGGUGUGAUGGUAGCACGCACCUCUGGCAAGGGUGAGGGCGCGGGUUCAAAUCGCGCUUGAUGCC